rnacentral:rRNA from 1 species
GAGUUUGAUUAUGGCUCAGAUUGAACGCUGGCGGCAUGCUUUACACAUGCAAGUCGAACGGCAGCACGAGUGCUUGCACUUGGUGGCGAGUGGCGAACGGGUGAGUAAUGCAUUGGAACGUGCCUUGUAUUGGGGGAUAACUGAGCGAAAGCUUAGCUAAUACCGCAUACGCCCUGAGGGGGAAAGCUGGGGAUCGUUUGACCUGGCGAUAUAAGAGCGGCCAAUGUCUGAUUAGCUAGUUGGUGAGGUAAAGGCUUACCAAGGCGACGAUCAGUAGCGGGUCUGAGAGGAUGAUCCGCCACACUGGGACUGAGAGACGGCCCAGACUCCUACGGGAGGCAGCAGUGGGGAAUUUUGGACAAUGGGGGGAACCCUGAUCCAGCCAUGCCGCGUGUCUGAAGAAGGCCUUCGGGUUGUAAAGGACUUUUGUUGGGGAGCAAAGGUAUCUGGUUAAGAUUCUGGAGAUU